AAGCAGCAGCUCUUGAUGCCUUUGCAGAGGAGCAGGAGAUGAGCAAGAGGAUGGAUGGCAGGAAAGAAAGAGAGAUUCAAACCAGGCACAUUCGGAGAUUCUGCUGGGCGCUGGGCCAUUUAAAGACACUGCCAAGUAAAGUUCACUGAGUGUAACUUAGAGAGAGAAAAAAUGUUCCACCAAAGUCCAGCUAAAACCAUCACAGCUGGAGAGACAUCCCUGCUUUGGAAUACAAAUCAUACAGCACAAUGAAAAGCUUCACUCACACACAGUCUGGUAAAGAUUAUACAACCUACUGAAGGAGGACAUGAUUCUGACACGGGCCAUGUGGCGGUAAGAAGGAACUGGAGAGGCAUCGACCCGCACUGCCUCGUAUACCUUUGGUCAGGAGCACGAGGAGAACUACUUCACAUGUGCGACCAAGCCAAUGAACACUGCUUUGAAGAAUUUCCAAACUCAGGUGCACGAUGCACAUACUUACCCAUCUGCGACAUACACAUAGGGACCAGCACUCAAAGAAUAAGAAGAAUAACACAUUCAUAUCUCUAUUUCAGAUUUUACGGGUCAUAAAAUCCUGUCUACACAUGCCUACUUUGUUAAAUACGUAAUCAGAGAAUUCACUCCCAUUAACAAAAUUACUAGAAACGAUAUACCAUGGGUAGUGUAAAGAUGCUCAUUCUGUAACAUAACAUCCUUUUAAAUAGAGAGAUCCAAUGAUUAUAUUAUUGUAUAAUGGGCUCUAAACAAAAGCUUACUGUUGUAAUGAUUAUUGUAUUGUCUCUUAUUUACAUGACUAAGAUUUAUAAACCCGUUGACACUCUCUAAAUAAAGACAAAGUUAA